GAUGAACGCUGGCGGCGUGCCUAAUACAUGCAAGUCGAGCGAACGGACGAGAAGCUUGCUUCUCUGAUGUUAGCGGCGGACGGGUGAGUAACACGUGGAUAACCUACCUAUCAGACUGGGAUAACUUCGGGAAACCGUCGCUAACACCGGAUAAUAUUUUGCACCGCAUGGUUCAAUAGUGAAAGACGGUCUUGCUGUCACUUAUAGAUGGAUCCGCGCUGCAUUAGCUAGUUGGUAAGGUAACGGCUUACCAAGGCAACGAUGCAUAGCCGACCUGAGAGGGGGAUCGGCCACACUGGAACUGAGACACGGUCCAGACGCCUACGGGAGGCAGCAGUAGGGAAUCUUCGGCAAUGGGCGAAAGCCUGACAGAGCAGCGCCGCGUGAGUGAUGAAGGUCUUCGGAUCGUAAAACUCUGUUAUUAGGGAAGAACAGAUGUGUAAGUAACUGUGCACAUCUUGACGGUACCGAAUCAGAAAGCCACGGCUAACUACGUG
rnacentral:rRNA from 1 species